rnacentral:lncRNA from 1 species
UCACAAAUGAGCAAGACUACUAGCCAAGAAAUUAUGCACAUAAACUCAUCAUAGGAAAUUAACUUGGAAGACAACUUUCAUGAUUCAUGCAACUGCAACUAUAUGAACUACUAACACAUUCUAAACACAAGCAUAUAUAAAAAAAACACGUACUAAUAUGAAACUAUAUGAGAUAAUAUGCUAGCUAAUAUGCUAACUAUAUGCAUCAUGCAACCUAUAUGAACACACACUACUACUAGUCCUUAGAUUACCACCCCCAAACUUAAAAUAUUCAAUGUCCUCAUUGAAGGUGAUAAAAAGGAUCGAAUGUACCUA